rfam:Ciona savignyi cont_17268, whole genome shotgun sequence.
GUCUCUGUGGCGCAAUUGGUUAGCGCGUUCGGCUGUUAACCGAAAGUUUGCUGGUUCAAGCCCAGCCAGGGACG